UACGAAGGUGGCAAGCGUUGUUCGGAAUCACUGGACUUAAAGCGCGCGUAGGCGGAACAUUAAGUGUUUUGUGAAAUCCCUCGGCUCAACCGAGGAACUGCAGAACAUACUGAUGUUCUUGAGGCAAUCAGGGGUGCAUGGAACUCUGGGUGGAGCGGUGAAAUGCGUAGAUAUCCAGAGGAACGCCAGCGGAGAAAUCGGUGCACUGGGAUUGUUCUGACGCUGAGGUGCGAAAGCGUGGGUAGCGAACGGGAUUAGAUACCCCGGUAGUCCACGCUGUAAACGAUGCCUACUAGAUCGCGGAAGUUCUGACGCUUUCGCGGUCGAAGCAAAAGUGUUAAGUAGGCCGCCUGGGGAGUACGGUCGCAAGGCUAAA
rnacentral:rRNA from 1 species